GGGUGAAAGGGUGGGGUAAGAGCCCACCGCGCGACCGGCAACGGAAGCGGCACGGUAAACCCCACCGGGAGCAAAACCGAAUAGGGAUGACGCAGGGCGAAAGCCCGGCCCUUUUUCCGGGGUUGAUCAUCCGGGUAGGUUGCUUGAGGUGCGCAGCAAUGCGUGUCCCAGAGGAAUGGCUGCCACGUUUUGAUCCGCAAGGGUCAAGGCCAUACAGAACCCGGC
rnacentral:ribozyme from 1 species